AGACGGACAGACGGCUGCGGUGUGUGGACCGGAACAGUAGCUGUCGGGUUCGGAUCUACCUGCGGAUGAACCACCUGCCGGAGCAGAGUCCGCAGACGGCUCCAAAUGUGCGCUUUUCUCCUCUUGUGUCUCGGGUCUUAAAGUGUCUCGCCGUGGGAACAGUUGGAUCAGAAGAGUUGGAGAAGCUUGAAUCAUGGCUGGUGUCGGACUGUGGGAGCCUGCACCCAGGACGCACGGUCCAUCCGAGCCGGGACCGUCCACACCCUGAGUCCAGAACCGGACCGUAGCACCGGGGCCGAAUCCACCAGAAUGAUCCGGUCCAGUAUGAAGAGAAAGUUGACUCUGUUCCAUGUGCUGACCUUUGUCCUCCUGCUGCUUGCUCCGGUUGCCCUGUCCUCCCCACAGAGCUUGUGGCUCUCCAUUAGGGGGGCUUCUUCCAAGGCUGCCUCGGGGCAUCUGGUUCGUGCCCGACGGCAACUGCACUUCAGGAACGAGUGGGCGACGUGGGGUGUGUGGUCUGUCUGCUCACGGAGCUGUGGGGGUGGAGCCUCAGUUCGCAGUCGCACCUGCAUCACCAGGAAUCUGAUGGGUGGGCUGUGUGCUGGAGAUCUGCGACAAUACAAGAUCUGUAACAACAAGGAGUGUCCAUCAGGUUCAGAAGAUUUCAGAGAGAUGCAGUGUGCUGCCUUCAAUGACCGACCUCUGGUGGCUGGAAACUCAUACAGGUGGACCACGUUUCAUGGAGGUUCAAACCCCUGUGAGCUCAGCUGUCUGGCUUUGGGUCACAACUUCUACUACAACUUUGGUCGCGUUCUGGAUGGAACAUCUUGUGAUAAAGAGCCUGGAACCAUUUGUGUCAACGGACGCUGUCUGAAACCAGGUUGUGACUCCAUUUUGGGUUCGGAGCAACAGGAAGACGCCUGUAUGGUGUGUGGUGGACAAAACACCACCUGUCUGCACCACAAGAGUGUAUAUCAGAGCAACACACUGGAGGCAGGUGGACCUUUUGGAUACAACGAAGUGGCCAUGAUCCCAGCUGGAGCCACUCACAUCAGAGUCACAGACAACAGCAAGAACUACCUGGCCCUGCAGAACGGACGCUCCCAGUUUGUCAUCAAUGGAAACUGGAAGAUCAGCGUUCCUGGAGAAUACAGUGUGGCUGGGACGAAACUGCUGUACAGACGCUCUGCGGACACCUGGGAGAGCUUUGAGGUCAUGGGACCAACCCAAGAAGACCUGCACCUCAUGGUUCUGUCCACCGACAUAAACCUGGGGAUUGAGUAUGAGUACUGGCUUCCUCCAGAUCAGUACAAUCUGUACCACGGCAGGAGUCCUCUCCGCCAAGCUCACCGCACUGCCACCUAUAUCCCCUGGGACCAGCCCACCACCACAGAAACCACCACCACCAGGACUACCACCCACCAUACUACCGUCAGACCACACCACAAAGUCCAGCCUCGUCAAGGGCGAGAGGAGAACCACAGGAACCGACCACCAUAUCCCUCACUUAGACGGCAUUGUGGGAAUUGUCAGCGGGUUCGAGGACGUAGAGAGCGUCAGAGGCAGUACUGUCAGAAGGACUUUGUUUUCCGAGCUCGAGUACUUGGAAAACUGUACCAAGGUGAGGAGACUCGCUAUGAUGUCCAGAUUAUCCAUACUUAUCGGAAUCGCUUUCGUCUGGAGCACCGAGAGUUCCUGUGGGUCCCAAAUGUGUGCGACUGCCCCCUGCUGGAGGAGGGCAGGCAGUACAUUUUGAUGGUUCGGCGCCAUAUCAACUAUGAGCAUACGCUUAACCGCAUCCUGCUGGAAGAAGAGAGCUACGUUGUCCCAUACAGACCAAGAGAAGAUGAACUGCUGAGGCCGCUCGAACAGCUCUGCAGCAACAGAGGAGCAAGGCGACUGAGGGGAUAAGAGGACACCAUCUGUCCCACACCACAAACAAAUUUAUUAUUUUGCUGACUGAAUGUACAGAGCACUUUAGGUGGCCACCACCUUCAAACAGCUACCAAAGAGAAGAACAGGGACUCAGGCACUUGCUUUAGAGCUGUUUUUACACAAAUAUACUGUCAUUUUUUAUAUUAUUGCAUUUUUAUUACCUAAACUUAAAGGAAAAAUCCACCUGUAAUCAGCAUUUGUCAAGGACUUCAAGGGUUGAUGUGGUGUCUUCUUAUGCAGUAUUAAUUCCAUUGACUAAUAAUGUUGAAACCAACCAAAUAUGGAGUUGGUCUUCUUAAUUCUAUUGGAGGAGGUUAAAUCCAACAGCUAAAAAUAGCAAAUAAAAGGCAAAACUUGCAUAUUCAAACCAAAAUGCUAGACUUCCUGUUGGGUUUAAGGACAUUUGUUGUGUUGGACCUGAUACAAGUGUCUGUCAAAUAUGGUAUGUCCACAUGAACCAUCACUCAGGGGCUUAACUUUUUUUUUUUUUCCUGGCAAAACAUCAAAAUUCAUUACAUCACCAACAUCAUUUAAUGAAAAGUCACCACUUUCCUCUUCAUCACAAAGGUCUUUAAAUGAAAUUGAUCCAAUUUUAAGUCUCUCAGGUUGUUCUCUAAAGGUUUAAGUUCGAUGGCAAAAAUGUAAAAAAAAAUUGCAUAUUCAUAUCCAAACAGAGUACCGGUUGGGUUUAGAGUUUGUCUUCAGGGCUUUUUUCUGUGCAUCUCGACCUGAUGCAUGUGUCAACUACAUUUGGUUCAUCUAGGUGACAUCAUGAUCAGGGACCCAAAAAUGUCCUAGGUGACACUGUUGAUCCAGUUUUUCAACGUCAAAAUGCGUUGCCAUGUCAUCCACCAUUCACUGGUACUUAUUUCAAAUAACCAUUCAUCACAAAUAUUGUUUACACACAUUUCAUACACUGAUAAUGUUACAAAAAACGGUUGGCUAGCAGGACAGCACAUCUCUGAAACUGGAAUAAAUGAUAAGGUUGUAUUCUUCAAAGAUGCAAACAAAAUUAGGCCUGGAAAAAUAACAAAUCCAUCCAUAAUCAUCUAAAGUUUAAUGCAUUAAAUUUGUAUUAAAUCUUUACUCAUACUUUAGUGUAUCUCAUUUUUAAAUAUCGGACACAAAUGGGUGGGUUUAGCUUUUGGUUCCCAUUGACUUUUUUGCACAUCUGGAACUGAUCCAUAUUUCUAAAUGCGAUACAUCUUGAUCAAAUUGAACACAUGGCUCAAUUUUUGAAAUGAUACUUUUUUUUGCCACUUUGACACAUUUGUUGUUGAGGACAUUCGUUCUCCUAAAAUGUGUGACUGAUUGAGGUUUCUGCCUGUUAAAGGUAGUUUUUCCUCACCACUGUUACCAAGUGUUUGCUCCUGGAUGUGAAUUGACUUAAGAGUCCGAUUUGACCAGUUCUAAGUGUAAAGUGCCAUAAGAUAACUUUUGCUAUGAUUUGAUGUCAUAUAAAUAACAUUUUAUUUGAUUUACAGUCAGAAUAGCCGUCCUUCAAAAGGCCCUAUUGUGAUCCAGGUCUGUGUUCCACCUCUGUACCCUACUUUAUUCCACCUCAUCAUCACAACUUUUACACAAUUUUAUGGAAUUCACGAUCAAUAGACUCACUUAUUUAUAAGUAAAUAAAGCCAAAUUUUACUGCCUAAAAUUUCACAGUCUUUUCAGACUUUAGAGCUGCUGUUCACUUCUGCAGCUCUUUUUUCUCUUUUCACCAGAAACUCCUGAUGUCGCUGCCCUUUUUACCUCUUUAAUCACAAAUAUUGUGUUGAAAAAAAAAACCUAAACAAAAAUGUCUACAACAGGACACGACUGAAUGAAGGUGGAUUUUUCUUUUACAGUGUUUAUUCACCAACAUAAUUAUGACUUCAUUUAUUUAUGUAGAAGCAGUCAUUUAAUGUCUCACUUCUGUCAAUUUUUUUUGUAUAGUGUGGUAAAUAAGGUGGUGAUACUUUACAUGAAAGAGACGUUAAACGUGUAAAACCAGUGUUUUAUUGUGUGGCAUUGAUCAGAUCCUCAUCAGACCUCAGUGUAAGUGUGCCAAAAUGGCUUAUCUGGACUUUUGCUUUUUUUUUUUAAGAAAUGAAAAGACAACAACCAUGUUUGUAAGAAAAUUAUGUAUUUACAAAAACACUUUGAAAUCGUCUACAACAAAUGAAACACUAAAAUGACACAUUGCUGCUGUUGUUAUUUCACUCUGUUUGUCUUUUUUGAGUUUUUUAGCAUCUCAGACAGAGCCUUUGUUCAGGAGGUCAGAUUCAACAGUCAGACCUUUAAAGAUCCAGAAUAAAAACAAGUUUAGAUGUGGCCAUAAUCUGAUAAACAGUGAUAUUUACAUGAUGUUCAUAAAUAAUAAGCAAUGUUUCUUCUUCACUUGUUCAUCCUAAAGUAACAGAUUACUUGUGUUACUUUUAAACCUGGUUUUCUCUUACGUAAUUUAGUAAUUAUUCAAAUGUAAGAGGAGUUGGAGCCUCAAAUGUUUAACACAGUUUUUAUUUUGUCUCAUUCUGAAGAUUCAAAAUGAUGGUGAAAAUCAUUAGUACCCCCUCACUUUCAUGUUGGAAAGAAAUCUGUAAAGUUUUUGUAAAAACAGACACACUGCAAAACCUUACCCCUUUUUUACUUGGUCAGUAGUUGAAUUUCCCUGAUUUAUCUUUACAAGUGCCAAACAUUUGCUUCUUAAAUUUCACUGAUUCUUUUGUGUUUUAGGAAAGUUAAACUGUCUUUUUCUUUUUCUCCUCAUGUAACAGCUGCAGACUUUUAACCUCCUUUUCUGUUCAGUAAUUGAUUAUUCAAUGAAAAAGCAGUUUUUACACUAAAAACAAUUUAAAUUUUUUCAUGAGCUGACAGUUACUAAUAAUUACUGAAAGAAAAACCAGCAGAUCAUUCUGAAACCCUGAACAACAAAACCUGAAACUAGAAAACUCCUAACCUGCAGCUGUUCAUAAUGGAUGAAUGGUUUCAAUGGUUCUCUAGUAAAAAUAACAAAUCUUUGCUGAUUUGUCCAGUUUUACAUCUGUCUUUUUGUAUUAGGUUUUCAGCUGUUUGUAAGUGAAUCAAUGUCCCCUGGCACAACAUUUAAUUGAUAUAUGAUGUAUCAGUGUUUUUCCAGAAGUCUAUGUUCACCUCCAACUGCUCAAAUCUGAUGGCAUUUGAGAUAAAGCAUCUAUCUUUGUCUUUUAGCACUCCUGAUUUCUUUCAAAACAAGUGCAAUAAAAUUAGUCAUGUAAA